rnacentral:rRNA from 1 species
GACGAACGCUGGCGGCGUGCCUAAUACAUGCAAGUUGAGCGCUGAAGACUGGUACUUGUACCGGUUGGAUGAGCAGCGAACGGGUGAGUAACGCGUGGGUAACCUGCCCUAUAGAGGGGGAUAACUAGAGGAAACUUUAGCUAAUACCGCAUAAAAUCUAAUAACACAUGUUAUAAGAUUGAAAGUGCCAACUGGUACACUAUAGGAUGGACCCGCGUUGUAUUAGCUAGUUGGUGAGGUAAAGGCUCACCAAGGCGAUGAUACAUAGCCGACCUGAGAGGGUGAUCGGCCACACUGGGACUGAGACACGGCCCAGACUCCUACGGGAGGCAGCAGUAGGGAAUCUUCGGCAAUGGACGAAAGUCUGACCGAGCAACGCCGCGUGAGUGAAGAAGGUUUUCGGAUCGUAAAACUCUGUUGUAAGAGAAGAACACCAGUAAGAGUGGAAAGCUUACUGGCUGACGGUAUCUUACCAGAAAGCCACGGCUAACUACGUGCCAGCAGCCGCGGUAAUACGUAGGUCCCGAGCGUUGUCCGGAUUUAUUGGGCGUAAAGCGAGCGCAGGUGGUUUAUUAAGUCUGGUGUAAAAGGCAGUGGCUCAACCAUUGUAUGCAUUGGAAACUGGUAGACUUGAGUGCAGGAGAGGAGAGUGGAAUUCCAUGU